GACGAACGCUGGCGGCGUGCCUAACACAUGCAAGUCGAGCGGAGAUAAGCGGAAGGUAACUGAAGCUUAUCUUAGCGGCGGACGGGUGAGUAACACGUGGGCAACCUGCCUUGAAGUGGGGGAUAACACCGGGAAAUCGGUGCUAAUACCGCAUAACAUACACAAACUGCAUGGUAAGUGUAUCAAAGGAGCAAUCCGCUUUAAGAUGGGCCCGCGGCUGAUUAGCUAGUUGGUAAGGUAACGGCUUACCAAGGCGACGAUCAGUAGCCGACCUGAGAGGGUGACCGGCCACACUGGAACUGAGACACGGUCCAGACUCCUACGGGAGGCAGCAGUGGGGAAUAUUGCGCAAUGGGGGGAACCCUGACGCAGCAACGCCGCGUGGAGGAAGAAGGUCUUCGGAUUGUAAACUCCUGUCUUCUGGGACGAAUAAUGACGGUACCAGAGGAGGAAGCCACGGCUAACUACGUG
rnacentral:rRNA from 1 species